rnacentral:rRNA from 1 species
AGAGUUUGAUUAUGGCUCAGAUUGAACGCUGGCGGUAUGCUUAAGACAUGCAAGUCGAACGGAAUCUUCGGAUUCAGUGGCGGACGGGUGAGUAACACGUGGGAAUCUACUGAGUAGUGGGGGACAGCCCGGCGAAAGCCGGAUUAAUACCGCAUACGCCCUACGGGGGAAAGGCGCAAGCCGCUAUUCAAUGAGCCCGCGUAAGAUUAGCUAGUUGGUGAGGUAAAGGCCCACCAAGGCGACGAUCUUUAGCUGGUCUGAGAGGAUGGCCAGCCACAUCGGGACUGAGACACGGCCCGGACUCCUACGGGAGGCAGCAGUCGGGAAUAUUGGACAAUGGGCGCAAGCCUGAUCCAGCAAUACCGCGUGUGUGAAGAAGGCCUGCGGGUUGUAAAGCACUUUCAGUGGGGAAGAUAAUGACGUUACCCACAGAAGAAGCACCGGCUAACUCCGUGCCAGCAGCCGCGGUAAUACGGAGGGUGCAAGCGUUAAUCGGAAUUACUGGGCGUAAAGCGUGCGUAGGCGGUUAUUUAAGUCAGAUGUGAAAUCCCCGGGCUCAACCUGGGAACUGCAUCUGAUACUGGGUAACUAGAGUGUGGGAGAGGAGAGUGGGAUUUCCGGUGUAGCGGUGAAAUGCAUAGAGAUCGGAAGGAACAUCAGUGGCGAAGGCGACUCUCUGGACCAACACUGACGCUGAGGUACGAAAGCGUGGGUAGCAAACAGGAUUAGAUACCCUGGUAGUCCACGCCGUAAACGAUGUCAACUAGCCGUCAGGCCCGCUUUAGGGUUUGGUGGUGGAGCUAACGUAUUAAGUUGACCGCCUGGGGAGUACGCUCGCAAGAGUAAAACUCAAAGGAAUUGACGGGGGCCGCACAAGCGGUGGAGCAUGUGGUUUAA